CAAUAGCGUAUAUUUAAGUUGUUGCAGUUAAAAAGCUCGUAGUCGGAUUUUGGCUGAGAACGAACGGUCCGCCGUUAGGUGUGCACUGUUUGGUCUCAGCUUCCUGGUGAGGAGGUGUGCUUCACGGCCACUUAGUCACUGUGGUUACUUUGAAAAAAUUAGAGUGUUCAAAGCGGGCUUACGCUUGAAUAUAUUAGCAUGGAAUAACACCAUAGGACUCCUGUCCUAUUUCGUUGGUCUCGGGACGGGAGUAAUGAUUAAGAGGAACAGUUGGGGGCAUUCGUAUUUCAUUGUCAGAGGUGAAAUUCUUGGAUUUAUGAAAGACGAACUUCUGCGAAAGCAUUUGCCAAGGAUGUUUNCAUUG
rnacentral:rRNA from 1 species